ACUGGGAGGGUGCGCCGGAUACUGAGGGACUAGAGUGCGGGAUGGGAGAGUGGAAUUCCUGGUGUAGCGGUGAAAUGCGUAGAUAUCAGGAGGAACACCGGUGGUGUAAACGGCUCUCUGGACCGCAACUGACGCUGAGACACGAAAGCGUGGGUAGCAAACAGGAUUAGAUACCCUGGUAGUCCACGCCCUAAACGAUGCAUAUUUGGUGUAGGUCAUUCAGUUGAUCUGUGCCGGAGCUAACGCGUUAAAUAUGCCGCCUGGGGAGUACAGUCGCAAGGCUGAAACUCAAAGGAAUUGACGGGGGCCCGCACAAGCGGUGGAGCAUGUGGUUCAAUUCGACGCAACGCGAAGAACCUUACCUGGGCUCGAACGGCUUCUCAACGGAGGUGGAAACACUUCUAUCCCGCAA
rnacentral:rRNA from 1 species